rnacentral:hammerhead_ribozyme from 1 species
AUUCAGUUGACGAGUCCCAAAUGGGACGAAACGCAUGUCCUGGAU